rnacentral:lncRNA from 1 species
AUGGACAGAGGGAAGUGGGAGACGACGCUCACCUGUUUUCAGGCGUCUGCACGUGGAUACAUUGUGAGAAAGGAAGUCCGGCGUGCACGAGAAGACUUUGAAGACGUCGUGAGAGAGAUCGAUGGAGGCUUGACUCAUUUAGAGUGGAGGGAGACAGUCAUCCCCAUUCCCCACUUCACAGACACUAAUGGUCUGUUUCCACGACCCAGCAGCACUGCUGAAGGAGUAGAUAUCUGUGCCAGUCCCCAGAUCCCAUCAGCAACAGGAGUGUCAUCAGUGGAGAGGCGAGAUCAUCCUGCCCUGUCAGAGAAGAUAGAAGCAGAGAGGGAUGAUUCACAAAUCAGAGAUCAGACCUCUUUUUCUAAUGACUGUUUCCCCAGCAGCAAUGAUAAAGGGGACAGAGAGAAAGAAAGUACCAUGGUGUAUAAAGAUGGAGGGGUGAUGGAGAGCACAGGAGACUCCACCCCCGUCUGGAGCAGUUUGGAGCUGGAUAUGAACUAUGGUCACUCUAACAAAGGUUCCCGACAGUACUGCUUGGCCCAGGAGGUGCCCUGUACCCCAGAGGUGCUUCGUCUCCACAGAAACACCCUGACCAUGGAGCUGCUGUGGCUCCAACAGGCCAUUGACAGCAGGAAAAAGUACUUGUCACUGAAGGACAGACUGAGUGUUUCCUGA